GAUUAUCUUAUGGAGUCGGAUAAUAAUAACAACAAUAAUGACCCCUAUCAGAAAUUGAGGAAUCUUUUGAAGUUCUUGAUUAGCAUAAUUUAGACAAAAACUAUGGCGAAAGACAGAGGAUAUGAACUAAAAUGGCAAAAACUUUCCCAUAUCAGUCAGGUUAACUAGAUCCUUUAGCUUGCAGAUAGCAAUGUACUUUAAUACAGAUACGUCAGACUAUACAAUUCAACAAGGUAUGAAGACUAUCCCACUUGAACCGCAGUGGAGUAUUUCGCUACGCUUUAGUUAUACUUGGAAGAUUGGACUAUAAGUGAAUAAAUAAUGAAUAAAUGCAUUAUAUGAUUUUCUUUUUUGUUUUAAAUAAAAAAAUCAAAAAGUA